AUUGAACGCUGGCGGCAUGCCUUACACAUGCAAGUCGAACGGCAGCACGGGUGCUUGCACCUGGUGGCGAGUGGCGAACGGGUGAGUAAUACAUCGGAACGUACCUUAUCGUGGGGGAUAACGCAGCGAAAGUUGCGCUAAUACCGCAUACGCCCUGAGGGGGAAAGCGGGGGACCGUAAGGCCUCGCGCGAUUAGAGCGGCCGAUGUCUGAUUAGCUUGUUGGUGAGGUAAAAGCUCACCAAGGCGAUGAUCAGUAGCUGGUCUGAGAGGACGAUCAGCCACACUGGGACUGAGACACGGCCCAGACUCCUACGGGAGGCAGCAGUGGGGAAUUUUGGACAAUGGGGGCAACCCUGAUCCAGCAAUGCCGCGUGAGUGAAGAAGGCCUUCGGGUUGUAAAGCUCUUUUGUCAGGGAAGAAACAGCAGCUCUAACACAGUCUGCGAAUGACGGUACCUGAAGAAUAAGCCCGGCUAACUACGUGCCAGCCGCUGCCGUAA
rnacentral:rRNA from 1 species